AUCUUUCUAGUAUAAAUAGUACUAGUGACUUCCAAUCACUUAGCCUUGGUUAAAGCCCAAGGAAAGAUA
rnacentral:tRNA from 1 species